AUUGAACGCUGGCGGCAGGCCUAACACACGCAAGUCGAGCGGGGUUUUCGGACCUAGCGGCGGACGGGUGAGUAAUGCGUAGGAAGCUACCCGAUAGAGGGGGAUACCAGUUGGAAACGACUGUUAAUACCGCAUAAUGUCUACGGACCAAAGUGUGGGACCUUCGGGCCACAUGCUAUCGGAUGCGCCUACGUGGGAUUAGCUAGUUGGUGAGGUAAUGGCUCACCAAGGCGACGAUCCCUAGCUGGUUUGAGAGGAUGAUCAGCCACACUGGAACUGGGACACGGUCCAGACUCCUACGGGAGGCAGCAGUGGGGAAUAUUGGACAAUGGGCGCAAGCCUGAUCCAGCCAUGCCGCGUGUGUGAAGAAGGCCUUCGGGUUGUAAAGCACUUUCAGUAGGGAGGAAGCGUUGUGUGUUAAUAGUACACAGCGUUGACGUUACCUACAGAAGAAGCACCGGCUAACUCUGUGCCAGCCGCCGCCGUAAAAC
rnacentral:rRNA from 1 species